rnacentral:misc_RNA from 1 species
AAGGAACUUGGUUUGUCAUUGUGGCAUUCAACCUCGUGGUCUUGGCUAUUGCAAAAAAGAUGGGCAAAAUCAACCAGUUUUUCAUUAUCCUUCCUACCUCACUUUUUAGUAAGCCUAAGUCUUGCAGACUGCAGCCUUUCAGAUACUGCUAUUCCUGGAGAUCUUAGCUGCCUGCCUUCCUUAGAGUACCUAAAUCUAAGUGGAAACCCAAUUCGUUGCCUACCAGAGAGCAUCAACAGCCUCAUUAUGCUCGAGUCCCUUGU